rnacentral:rRNA from 1 species
GUGCCAGCAGCCGCGGUAAUACGAAGGGGGCUAGCGUUGUUCGGAAUUACUGGGCGUAAAGCGCGCGCAGGCGGUCCUCCAAGUCAGUGGUGAAAGCCCGGAGCUCAACUCCGGAAUUGCCAUUGAAACUGUUGGACUUGAGUACGAGAGAGGUGAGUGGAAUUCCCAGUGUAGAGGUGAAAUUCGUAGAUAUUGGGAAGAACACCGGUGGCGAAGGCGGCUCACUGGCUCGUAACUGACGCUCAAGCGCGACAGCGUGGGGAUCAAACAGGAUUAGAUACCCUGGUAGUCC